rnacentral:lncRNA from 1 species
AUGCAAGCAGCAAGAAAUCCUGUACCAGUCCAGAACUGGAUGAUGCUGGGAAAGAGGAGCUGCAUGCCUCCACCUAAGAGCAGCUGGGUUUGUUUUAAGAUCAAGAACUCCCAUCUAGUGAAUAUGCAGGAAAAAGCUUCCAAUCUAGUGUUGCUUUUUGCCACAAUGCCGUGCCGCUCCUUCCCUAUGUGGGUGCCUCGCGUUAUCAAAAUCAGCCUAUUUCUGUGAUAUUCUUAAAGGUAUGCUGUUGUUGCACAGAGGGGCAGAAAGUUCUGGAGGUUGUGGGGGGGGGGAGAACCCAGAACAAAUGAAGGGAUUUGAUACAUUUUGUAAUACACAUUUCACAUCACUGCACUCAGGAAUAUUGGCUUAAAAUUGAUUUAGUUCAACUAACUUCAGUAAGACUUUGUUAUGUUUGUCUGGGAAGCAGAACAUGCUUCACGAUCAGUUUUCAUUUAAAAAAAAAUUUUGAUAAAAAGUACUCAAUAAUAAGGAAUACUGUAAAACCCCCAAUGUAUCUUUUCUUCCAGCAAUUUCUGAGGCAGAAAGCUGAGCAAGUGCAAAUGGUACCUUUCAAGAUAGCAGGCUCUUCAGGCACAAGGAUGCCUUAUUAGGAGGAUCCUACUAAGCAGGCAUUGUGGCUAUUUGAUCAAAUGGAACUGGAAAGAAAAUGGACCAACUGAUUGAAAUUCCUUCUAGGCAGCUUUCUAUAAUUAGAUUUACAAUCAUAUUAUCUCUAUGUUUUCUAUGGAGACCUUUGUCUAAACUUCAAAGGAUGUCUGUUUCCUUUUAAAGUAGUUCCACUAUCUACAUAUCAAACCUGUCAGAGUGCAGAAAUACUACAUGCCCUCUUCCUGUUCCAGGCCACAGUAAAAUUUACUUUGACAAAAAAAGGCAUAUACCUCUGUUAAGCCAUUACGACUGCAGCAGUAGUCCACUCCAGGAAUAUAUGCUGGGACUUGCUAGCGUUCCAAUGAAACAAGUUAAAAAACAUAAUGGACUUCAGUAUUACAGCUACCAAAAAUAACCUAUGAGGAAAAGAAAAGCAACUGUCUGAUGCAGUGCUAUAAAAUAUGUAAGAAAAAGGCCUCUUUCACAUUUUCAAAUUUAGCCAAAGAAAUAAACAGCACAAACUUGGCA